rnacentral:sRNA from 1 species
UUGUGCCUGUAAAAAUUUUGGUUUUUUGUUUUGGACGCCCGUUUUAUGUCCUUAAUACUAGGGCUUUCUUGGAAACUUUUGCAUGUGCCAAAAGAAACACGCUAUUACUUUUCAUCUCUUUCGAAUUUUAAGAUUUUAAAAGUGAUAAUAUUAAUACGAUGUUAAGCAAGAAAAUCUAACGAACAAACGGAUAGAUUGGAUUCUGUAUGAAAAGCCCAUUAUCCACUGCCACAGUCACACAUUUAUACAAAGUUAAAUGUACUUCAAUUAUUUAAGGGGCUAAUAAUUCACAAAAACGGAACAAAAAAAUUAAAUUAUACAACACUCACAG